rnacentral:rRNA from 1 species
GCGCGAAAACUUUACAAUGCUGGCAACAGCGAUAAGGGGACCUCGAGUGCCAGGUUACAAAUCUGGCUGUCGUAAUGCCUAAAAAGCAUUGCAUAGCAAGGGCCGGGCAAGACCGGUGCCAGCCGCCGCGGUAACACCGGCGGCUCGAGUGGUAACCGUUAUUAUUGGGUCUAAAGGGUCUGUAGCCGGCCGGAUAAGUCUCUUGGGAAAUCUGGCAGCUUAACUGUCGGGCUUUCAGGAGAUACUGUCUGGCUCGAGGCCGGGAGAGGUGAGAGGUACUUCAGGGGUAGGGGUGAAAUCUUGUAAUCCUUGAAGGACCACCAGUGGCGAAGGCGUCUCACCAGAACGGACCUGACGGCAAGGGACGAAAGCUAGGGGCACGAACC